rnacentral:lncRNA from 1 species
AUUCUAGAGGAAACUCCAGAUGCACAUUAAUGUCCUUUCCAAUCACCGUUUAUUCAGAAAGAUGCUAGUGACUCCUCAGUAUUGAAGAAGAUGAAACAAGUGGGUGCAAUGGAGAGAAUGGAGUCUGGACUGAUGCUGGAGGCCAACAAACUGGCCAUGUGUCUGUCUGAGGAGACGACUGACAUUACAGCUCUCAGCCCAGCCCUGUACAGCCCACCAAUACACUUCGAGCUGACUGGAGACGUCCAGGGGAAAUGGAGGCUUCAGUCUAACUAUGGUACAUCUGUGAGGCUGAUCAAAGAGAGCGCCGUACACGCGGGCGAUCAUCAACUCACCCUGAAGAUCUCUGACAGCCAGGGCCAGCAUUCGGUCCAGACCCUCUCGCUGCUUGUGUGCGACUGUGAUGUUUCUGCAAACUGCAAAGACCCAGCAACAAAGAUGAACGUCACUGCCAUCGCUGUCGUAAUCCUCAGCAUCCCGGUGCUGCUGGGUAUCCUGUUGAUGGCGUGGUGUCAGAUCAGAGCAAAGAAAUGUGCAAAGCACCAAAUGCUUUUAGUGGAGGAAUCAGAGCAAUCUCUUAGUCCUGACAGCACUGAAACACAUUGAACUUGAUUGCAUGGCCACAGCUUUACUUGACGAACUCCUCGAGCCAGAGCUGGAACACGAACACUCCCAGACUUCACUCAUGCCACUGAAUGUGCGGUG